rnacentral:misc_RNA from 1 species
GAUGAAGAACGUAGCGAAAUGCGAUAAGUAAUGUGAAUUGCAGAAUUCAGUGAAUCAUCGAAUCUUUGAACGCACAUUGCGCCCGUCAGUAUUCUGGCGGGCAUGCCUGUUCGAGCGUCAUUACGCCCCUCAAGUCCCCUGUGGACUUGGUGUUGGGGAUCGGCGAGGCUGGUGUUCCAGCACAGCCGUCCCUUAAAUUAAUUGGCGGUCUCGCCGUGGCCCUCCUCUGCGCAGUAGUAAAACACUCGCAACAGGAGCCCGGCGCGGUCCACUGCCGUAAAACCCCCCAACUUUUUAUAGUUGACCUCGAAUCAGGUAGGACUACCCGCUGAACUUAAGCAUAUCAAUAAGCGGAGGA